AUACGGGGGGGGCGAGCGUUAUUCGGAAUUACUGGGCAUAAAGCGCACGUAGGCGGCGCGAUAAGUCAGAUGUGAAAGCCCUCGGCUCAACCGAGGAACUGCACCUGAAACUGUCGUGCUCGAGGACGGUUGGGGUGAGUGGAACUCCUGGUGGAGCGGUGAAAUGCGUAGAUAUCAGGAGGAACACCGGUGGCGAAAGCGGCUCACUGGACCGUAACUGACGCUGAGGUGCGAAAGCUAGGGUAGCGAACGGGAUUAGAAACCCCAGUAGUCC
rnacentral:rRNA from 1 species